AUCUGGCUCAGAUUGACGCUGGCGGCAGGCCUAACACAUGCAAGUCGAGCGGAAACGAUGGAAGCUUGCUUCCAGGCGUCGAGCGGCGGACGGGUGAGUAAUGCAUAGGAAUCUGCCCGGUAGUGGGGGAUAACCUGGGGAAACCCAGGCUAAUACCGCAUACGUCCUACGGGAGAAAGCAGGGGAUCUUCGGACCUUGCGCUAUCGGAUGAGCCUAUGUCGGAUUAGCUAGUUGGUGAGGUAAUGGCUCACCAAGGCCGCGAUCCGUAGCUGGUCUGAGAGGAUGAUCAGCCACAUCGGGACUGAGACACGGCCCGAACUCCUACGGGAGGCAGCAGUGGGGAAUAUUGGACAAUGGGCGAAAGCCUGAUCCAGCCAUGCCGCGUGUGUGAAGAAGGCUUUCGGGUUGUAAAGCACUUUCAGUGGGGAAGAAAUCCUCGGGGCCAAUACCCUCGAGGGAGGACAUCACCCACAGAAGAAGCACCGGCUAACUCCGUGCCAGCAGCCGCGGUAAUACGGAGGGUGCGAGCGUUAAUCGGAAUUACUGGGCGUAAAGCGCGCGUAGGCGGCUUGAUAAGCCGGUUGUGAAAGCCCCGGGCUCAACCUGGGAACGGCAUCCGGAACUGUCAGGCUAGAGUGCAGGAGAGGAAGGUAGAAUUCCCGGUGUAGCGGUGAAAUGCGUAGAGAUCGGGAGGAAUACCAGUGGCGAAGGCGGCCUUCUGGACUGACACUGACGCUGAGGUGCGAAAGCGUGGGUAGCAAACAGGAUUAGAUACCCUGGUAGUCCACGCCGUAAACGAUGUCGACUAGCCGUUGGGGUCCUUGUGACCUUUGUGGCGCAGUUAACGCGAUAAGUCGACCGCCUGGGGAGUACGGCCGCAAGGUUAAAACUCAAAUGAAUUGACGGGGGCCCGCACAAGCGGUGGAGCAUGUGGUUUAAUUCGAUGCAACGCGAAGAACCUUACCUACUCUUGACAUCGUGCGAACUUUCCAGAGAUGGAUUGGUGCCUUCGGGAACGCACAGACAGGUGCUGCAUGGCCGUCGUCAGCUCGUGUUGUGAAAUGUUGGGUUAAGUCCCGUAACGAGCGCAACCCUUGUCCCUAUUUGCCAGCACGUAAUGGUGGGAACUCUAGGGAGACUGCCGGUGACAAACCGGAGGAAGGUGGGGACGACGUCAGGUCAUCAUGGCCCUUACGAGUAGGGCUACACACGUGCUACAAUGGCCGGUACAAAGGGUUGCGAAGCCGCGAGGUGGAGCUAAUCCCGAAAAGCCGGUCUCAGUCCGGAUCGGAGUCUGCAACUCGACUCCGUGAAGUCGGAAUCGCUAGUAAUCGUGAAUCAGAAUGUCACGGUGAAUACGUUCCCGGGCCUUGUACACACCGCCCGUCACACCAUGGGAGUGGACUGCACCAGAAGUGGUUAGCCUAACUUCGGAGGGCGAUCACCACGGUGUGGUUCAUGACUGGGGUGAAGUCGUACA
rnacentral:rRNA from 1 species